GCGUGGGCUCACAGUGAGUUCCAGCUUCAAAAAUCUCACCGCCAGCCACUGACUACUACAAAAGAGCGGCUCUGGCUCCACCACUCGCAGAGGAGAAGCCUGACUCAGCUUCACACAGAUCCACUCUCCCUGCCCAGCAAGCCUGCUUUCCGCUGGGGAAACUGAGGCUCGGAGAGAUGAAGCCUCGCCCAGGCCAGAGGGCAGUCCACCCACAUCUGCACUCUGGCCGGGUCACAGCAUCCCCAAAAAACAGCCCAGCGCCCACUGGGGUGUGGGACGUGCCAGGCAGAGGCCCCUGAGUCUGGCCCCCGGCCCAGUGGCCCGACACUCCUGUGACUUCCACUGCUACAGGGAUGUCAGGGUCUUGGCCCAGGCUGGGCACUGUGGUGGGGAGUCCUGGACCGGAGCCCAGAUGGGAAAUGUUUGUUGACUGACCCAGCGACCCCUUCCACCAUCCCUGACGGGAAAGCAUCCAGGCUCCUGGGAGAGAAUCCAGCCUCCUCCUCCAUGGUGCCCUCCCGCUGUCCCCGUCCCUGUGCAUUUUGGUUUCAGCAGGAAGAGCCCAGGGCAGCGGGUCCCCACUGGGAAGUUCAGCCUGGGGCGGGGACAGGAGCCAGGGAUGGCUCCAGGCCGGGUGGGGAGGACGAAGACCACAGUGCCACAUUCAUCCCUGCCGGGACCGCGGGGACCUGCACCCCAGGGCCUUGUGUUCCCCACCUGAAGGGGCCCUGCAUGGUGGCCCUGGAAACCAGUAAUGUGGACAGCAGAGGGUGAGGGUGGGGUUCCUGCCAAGGUUUGGGGAGCAGGUGGUUAAAUAUCCAUGAGGCCUGGGAGGGGACAGAAUGGGGAGUCACACCCGGGGGAGAGAGAAGGAUGGGGCAGAGGGCAGAGGAGCCUGCAGUGGGCACUCUGGGCGGCUGAGGCAGGAGGGUCUCCAGCUCCAGAUGCAGACCGUGAUGAUGAUGAACCCUCAGGCAGAUGCCAAGUGACCAUCAGAGGGGCUUCAGUGCCACUCAGGGAGGGCUGGGCCAACUUGCAGGAGGCCGUUGGUCUGGUCCCAGCACCACAAAAUGAAACAAAACCCUGUGGAAAGUGACGGCGUAGGCAAGGCCUUGGAAGCUGGACACAGUCCACGUCUGGCAGGGAGUGCACAGGCAGCUGCUGGGAAAACAGCCCACACGUCCUCUGCAAGUCACACCCAGGGUGAUCCAGGUCCCUGCUGUUGAGCUCCAAGGUACCGAACAAGAGAGUUGAAGACAGGAGAUGUUUCCACCAAAACCUGACCGCAGCCAAAGGUGCAGACAGCCAGGUGCCCAUCAGUGGUGAGCAGAUACACGCAGGGUGGUCUGUCUGCCUGUGGAAUAUUACUCAGCCAAGAACAGGACUGGAGCACUGAUAUGCUACAAUCUGGAUGGACCGGGGCACUGAGUAACACAGCCAGACACACAAGGCCACACUAUAUAUGAUCCCACUGACACGAAAUGUCUAGCCCAGGCAGAUCCACAGAGACCGGAAUCAGACUGGUCACUGCCAGGAGUUGGGGAGGGCGAAUUGUAUGGUGUGUGAUUUCUCCGUAUUUUAACAACAGCAGCAGCAGGGCUGGGCACGGUGAACACCUGAGAUCCCAGCACUCAAAAGGCUGAGGCAGGAGGAUC